ACCUAGCUGAACAAUUCUAAAUAAGACGGAACGCGCGUCAUAGAU
rfam:Schistosoma margrebowiei strain Zambia genome assembly, scaffold: SMRZ_contig0011401